UUGUAGCCCCGAUUGGAACGGCAUCCUUUUUCGUUAUUGCGAGUGUGUAAAAGUUCAACAGAUUGCUUCACUUCGCUCGCAAUGACGAAAAAGAUAUAGUGGAAAGCGGGAAUAAUC
rnacentral:sRNA from 1 species